UUUAUGGAGAGUUUGAUCCUGGCUCAGGAUGAACGCUGGCGGCGUGCCUAAUACAUGCAAGUCGAGCGAACGGACGAGAAGCUUGCUUCUCUGAUGUUAGCGGCGGACGGGUGAGUAACACGUGGAUAACCUACCUAUAAGACUGGGAUAACUUCGGGAAACCGGAGCUAAUACCGGAUAAUAUUUUGAACCGCAUGGUUCAAAAGUGAAAGACGGUCUUGCUGUCACUUAUAGAUGGAUCCGCGCUGCAUUAGCUAGUUGGUAAGGUAACGGCUUACCAAGGCAACGAUGCAUAGCCGACCUGAGAGGGUGAUCGGCCACACUGGAACUGAGA
rnacentral:rRNA from 1 species